GAGUCAAGUCAAGAGACUGUUUCUUAUGAACCACUGUGCUCUGGUAUUCGUGCUUUGAAGGGAUGCUUUUGAAGGAUGCGGCCGCCCUGGAAUACCGAGCUGGGAGUCGAGCAGCAAACAGCCAUCUCCUCCCAUGUUCAGGGGUGACGGUGAAGGAGCUGUGGGACCGGAUACUGGACGGUGGCUUGUUGUGCCACGGGGCUUUGUGCCAGAGCAGGAUCGUUCACGAUCUGUGGAGCGAGCUCGGAUCACAUUCCUGCCAGUGUCGUCCGAGAGAUGUGCAACGUCUGCAAAACCAGCAAUUGGGCUACGGUUUCAAGAACAAUGGGACAAGAACUGGGCCGACGCGACUGUAUCCUCAUUCAUCCUCAUCCCGUUCAUGGUGA
rnacentral:lncRNA from 1 species